UACGUAGGGGGCGAGCGUUGUCCGGAAUCAUUGGGCGUAAAGCGCGUGUAGGCGGUUCAGUAAGUCUGCUGUGAAAGUCCAGGGCUCAACCCUGGGAUGCCGGUGGAUACUGCUGAACUAGAGUGCGGAAGAGGCGAGUGGAAUUCCCGGUGUAGCGGUGAAAUGCGCAGAUAUCAGGAGGAACACCGGUGGCGAAGGCGGGUCUCUGGGCCGAUACUGACGCUGAGGAGCGAAAGCGUGGGGAGCGAACAGG
rnacentral:rRNA from 1 species